UGCUCUAUUCAAAUUUGUCUGUAAAAUUCAAAUAUACGACUGGGUAAUGUUGCAGCAGGUGAUGCAGAAUCCUAACUUCAUGACCAUGGCUGAGCGCCUGGGAUCCAUCUAUGUCUUCCAUGCUUGAAAGUCUUACUAGUCCUUCAAAUAAAGAUCAGCUUGAGGAGAGAAUGGCAUGCAUAAAAGAAGAUCCAUCUUUGAAGCAUAUUUUAGAUGAGAUAGAGACUGGUGGUCCUACUGCUAUGAUGAGGUUUAGAUGGCAAAAUUAGGAUGGUCAUCUUAUUUUUUGGGUAUCUUUUUAUUGAGACACUGAGAUAUUGAAUAGUGGUGUUGAAAAAUAAUAUCCAAUUUUAUAGGUAUCGUAUAAGGAAUAUUAUGUUUAUCUAUGAAUAUUAUGUUUAUCUA